AUGAACGCUGGCGGCGUGCCUAAUACAUGCCAGUCGAGCGAACAGAUGAGGAGCUUGCUCCUCUGACGUUAGCGGCGGACGGGUGAGUAACACGUGGAUAACCUACCUAUAAGACUGGGAUAACUUCGGGAAACCGGAGCUAAUACCGGAUAAUAUAUUGAACCGCAUGGUUCAAUAGUGAAAGACGGUUUUGCUGUCACUUAUAGAUGGAUCCGCGCCGCAUUAGCUAGUUGGUAAGGUAACGGCUUACCAAGGCAACGAUGCGUAGCCGACCUGAGAGGGUGAUCGGCCACACUGGAACUGAGACACGGUCCAGACUCCUACGGGAGGCAGCAGUAGGGAAUCUUCCGCAAAGGGCGAAAGCCUGACGGAGCAACGCCGCGUGAGUGAUGAAGGUCUUCGGAUCGUAAAACUCUGUUAUUAGGGAAGAACAAAUGUGUAAGUAACUAUGCACGUCUUGACGGUACCUAAUCAGAAAGCCACGGCUAACUACGUG
rnacentral:rRNA from 1 species